CCUACGGGAUGCAGCAGUGAGGAAUAUUGGUCAAUGGACGAGAGUCUGAACCAGCCAAGUAGCGUGAAGGAUGACUGCCCUAUGGGUUGUAAACUUCUUUUAUAUGGGAAUAAAAUGUUCCACGUGUGGGAUUUUGUAUGUACCAUAUGAAUAAGGAUCGGCUAACUCCGUGCCAGCAGCCGCGGUAAUACCGAGGAUCCGAGCGUUAUCCGGAUUUAUUGGGUUUAAAGGGAGCGUAGGUGGAUUGUUAAGUCAGUUGUGAAAGUUUGCGGCUCAACCGUAAAAUUGCAGUUGAAACUGGCAGUCUUGAGUACAGUAGAGGUGGGCGGAAUUCGUGGUGUAGCGGUGAAAUGCUUAGAUAUCACGAAGAACUCCGAUUGCGAAGGCAGUUCACUGGACUGCAACUGACACUGAGGCUCGAAAGUGUGGGUAUCAAACAGGAUUAGAUACCCGAGUAGUC
rnacentral:rRNA from 1 species